AAAAUGGUACACAGAAUUAUUCGUAUUGUGUUAUUGUUGUUUUCUACAAUAGUGAAAUGUAGAAAACUCGAGGCAAGAGACGAAAAAAUUUUCCCGAAUGGAACGCUAGUUGGGACGUAUCAAUAUGUAGACGCACAGGGUAACCAAGUGCAUGUGAAGUACUUUGCUGAUGGAAAUAGUUACAGCAUUGAUUUAAGAGGAUACAAGAUCCCAAAAACCGCAGAAGAGACUACUCAAAAUUUAACUGUCUCAGUAGCUAAGCCAAUCACCGAGGUGACAGAUACAUUGGUACCGCUAAAAUUAGACUUUCCCGCUGUUGACAACAUUUACACAAUCGAAAACCCGAACAAUACUAAUGAUAUUUCUCACAAUAAACAACAUAAUCAAGAAACUAAUGAUGACCCAGCCGAAGAUUAUAAUUAUUAUGAUUCUGUGUUGAAAAUACCUAAGAUUGAAUCUGAUGAAAAGAAAAAGAGGAAAACCAUAAGAAAGAUUCGACAAACGUUGGAUAUUUUUAUGAGAAAAAUACCUAAUUCAUAAUUACUUUUACAUCGGCCCUGUUCGUAUUUUAUUUGAAUAAUAUUUACUGUUACUUACAGUUCAAUUUUAUUAUUCACUAGCGACCCACCCCGGCUUCGCAUGGGUUAACAAAUAAUACACCUAAACUUUCCUCAGGAAUCACUCUAUUGAUAGGUGAAAACCGCAUGAAAAUCCGUUCCGUAGUUUUUGAGUUUAUCACGAACAUACAAACACAC